UACCCAGCAACUCCUAUCCCUACCUUCACUCGGUACCGGCCGGAAACUAUGAGCAACCUUAGGGAAGAUCGGGUAACCAACCCCGGUGGGAACUUUGGUCGUAGGCUGACAGGGAAGG
rnacentral:ribozyme from 1 species